GACGAACGCUGGCGGCGUGCCUAACACAUGCAAGUCGAGCGGGGAACGGACGGUAGCUUGCUACUGUUUGUUUCUAGCGGCGGACGGGUGAGUAACGCGUGAGCAACCUGCCUUUAUCAGGGGGAUAACGCAUCGAAAGAUGUGCUAAUACCGCGUAAGACCACAGCUUCACAUGGAGCGGGGGUCAAAGGAGCAAUCCGGAUAAAGAUGGGCUCGCGUCCGAUUAGCUAGUUGGUGAGAUAACAGCCCACCAAGGCGACGAUCGGUAGCCGACCUGAGAGGGUGAUCGGCCACAUUGGAACUGAGAGACGGUCCAGACUCCUACGGGAGGCAGCAGUGGGGAAUAUUGGGCAAUGGGCGAAAGCCUGACCCAGCAACGCCGCGUGAGGGAAGAAGGGUUUCGGCUCGUAAACCUCUGUCCUAUGGGACGAAGGAAGUGACGGUACCAUAGGAGGAAGCCCCGGCUAA
rnacentral:rRNA from 1 species